GUACACAAACCAUCCACAAUCUGCCUUCUCAACCAUCAUCCUGCUGGAGGCCUUCCAUGGAGACCCCUGGUCCAGCUAGGAGUUCCGGUUCAGACAAAGGAGAGAAAACGGGCGUGAUCCUGCUAGCUGAAGAUAGUUUACGUUUGGAAUUCUGGGUAUAAAAAUGCCAGAGCCCCAGAAGCUGCAGGGGCUGCUGCUCCCUCUGCUGCCUCUGGAUCCUGUUGCUACAGUCUGUCAAGUGGUCAUGAGCAAUGGUAUGAGAAGAAAUGGGAUAUCCUAACUACGAAGAUUAGACUUGCCAGAGUAUUCAACAACUAAUCAGCAGGAAAGUGUACAGCUUUGGUGAGAUUCAUCCUCAGACAAGCUGAACUGACCUGCUUGGAUCCCUGCUUCUGGUUGCUGCCCAAAACAGCUUCAGCUUCGGGGACUGUCACAGAUUCCAGGUCAUUGUGCCUCAUUCAACCUUUCAGAUGAAUCUAGUCAGAACUUCAAUUAAGUUCUGGGCUUCCUAAGCAUACGGAAACUGGAUUACAGAUGCUAAAGCUAGCUUUCUCAAGUCUAACCAAAUUUUCUAAUUCUCCUAUCCAUCCCCACACCUUUAAAGAAUUUUUCAUUGCUCCUGUUCAGCAAGAAGUUAUGGACAGUCAUCGGCCCAAUUCCCUGGGUUUGGAGGUCUGGUAAUGGUUAUUCUAUACAUUAUAGAAGUUGCCAUUUUAAGGGACAAUUUGGGAAUGGUCAUAUUUUUGAACAGGGAGGAAAUGGGUAGAAUUGAUUGUGUAGCCAUAAUCUUAAAUGGUAGAAAUCUUUUUAAUUGAUGCAAAAUUGAAGUUAUAAUUUUUUAUAUUGGUAUGGGAUUUAUUUUGACACAGAUUUAAGGUUUUCAUUGGUAUGAAUUUCUUAUGUUGAUACAAAUAUUGAAAUUAAUAUUGUUACUCUUAGUUAGGUAUUGUGCCUAUGCAAUUCAUUCAAGAAAAAAAAGCUUAAACCCAGUCCUUCUAAUAACUGCUAUUACAGACUGUUUUUAGAUGAUUAAGUGAUAUGAGUUAAGGACCAGAUAGCAAACUCUUGGUUAUAUUAGA
rnacentral:sRNA from 1 species